GACCAGCCCUGAGACAGUAUGGGAGGGGACUUCACAAGGCUGUGGAUACCAGGAGCCCCAAAAUAUUGAAUAGGGCCAUUGUCUCUGUUGAAGCCCAAAUUAACUCCCCAUGAUGCUACACGAAAGCAGAUCUUUCUCUGUAAAGAUGAUGAUGCAAGAAAUCGCUGGCCACAAGAAAGGAUUUCAUCAUAUGAGAAGAUUUUUUGAGGAAUUUCAACUAAUGCCUCUAUUCCUAAGAAAUGGGUAAAGAUAUUGAAUAAUCUAAUUUAUGUCUUCAAGACUGAAGCUGACACUGCAUCUAUGAAACAAGUAAGAAACAGCUACAAAGAGAUGACAGAAUAUGGUGACCAAUUUUAAAUCCAUAAUACACUAAUGAGCAGAAGAUUAGAUAUCACAGUAAAGUCAGUAAUUUUUUUUAAUGGGCUGGAAAAUUUCUCCCAGAACUCAGGACUGAAAAACAAAAAUAAUGAGAAAAAAAGGAAAAAAGGACCCGGUGAUCCAAUAUACAGAUAAUUCCAAAAGGAAAAAAGAAAACUAAGGCUGACACAAUCAUCAAAGAUCAUUAAAGAGAACUUUCUUAAGCUGAAAAAGACUUGUCCUUAAGAUUGAAAGCAUUAACUUCAGGGUAAUUUAACCAGUUCUCAUUGCAAAGAAAAGGUCUUAUAAGCACUGAAGUGAAAAUAAAAGCAGGUUACAAAGGAAUAUAGUAAAUCUAGCUUCAGUUUUUUCAUCAACUACAAGCCAGAAGUCAGUGGUGGGAGGCCUAUGGGGUCCAAAGCUCAUGACCCAAGUUGUCAUUCAUAUGCAAAGCCAUGUACAUGAAUGAAACACAGAUGUUCUCAGACAUAUAAUAUUUCGUUAUAUGGAUAUACUUUUCACAUGCCCUUCCUGGAAAAAAUGUCCAAAGAGCCUCUUCAACUAGAUAACAGCUAUAUCAAGAUAAAAACCCCCAAAUGGGGAGGAUAUAAUUUUUUCAAAACCAGCGAUAAUGUGUCCAAGCAACUGUUGUCAGUUUAGUUAUACUAGUACAGAUGUCAAAAUUAAUUACUGAAAUAUAAGUUUUAUAUAUAAAAUAAUGAGGAUAUGAAAUCAGAUGACAAAUAAAAACUGGUAACUGGGAAGAAAAAGAAGGAGGAAGUAAGCAUGCUAAUUUUUUAUCAAAUGACACAUCAAAUUUCAUUUUUAACAUUGAUAAUUGAGAAAAUAAACUAAAUUUUUUUAAAAUGUAAACAAAUUAAAAAGAGUAUUUAUAUUCUAAAUCACCACAAAAGGGGAAAGAAGUCAAAGAAACAUGAUCUUUUAUACAAAAGACAAAAAAGGCAACCUACUAAAAAUAAUAAGCAUUUGUAAAAUGUUUUCUAAACACAGGUUAUUUCUUCUCAGUGAUAAGACAGCAAGUCAUUUGCUUAGGAUAUUUGUAUUUCCAAAAAUUAUACAAUGAAGAUGCAUAACUUUUAAAUAACAAAUUAUAAAAUCCCUUGUGGGGGCUGUUAUAAAAAGUUGUUUGAUGUGUAACACAUUGCCAGUAAAACUAAAGAAUGGAUGGAUGAGAAGUUCCCAGUUAUAACAAGAUAUGAUCAAGAUAUUCUGGGCCAGGAUGGUCAUGCUUUUUUUUUUUCCAGUGGUAUCGAUUUAAGAUUUUGCAGCUGGUGAGAUACAUGAUCAUGGCCAUUUGGAGAACUGUAGGGCAUCCAUCUUCUAUGUCAAGAAGAUUGAUGUUAUAGUAGUUACCAUGCUGUCCUGCCUUGGCGAUUUCUGCCCAGAGGGUUUUGAGAAUGCAGUAUAUUUGCAUCAGCUGUAUAGCAUUUCCAUCAAAACAGUUGUGCCCUGCCUGCUGUCAAUUGUGGCGGCACCAUUUUAUAUUUUGUUUUAUAGAGUUGCAGAAGCAGCCUUUGCCCCAUCCACACUUUGUUCAAUUACAAAGCUGAUCUCACUCCUCACCCCAAAAGACUGUUACUACUCCUGGAGAGGUUUGUGAAGGUCGACCUGAUCCCUCCAGGAUGGAGAACGGACAGAACAGACCUUAAGCUGGGGACCAGGGUUUCAAAGUGGAGCCUCCCAAUCAGGGCCAGAUUGACUUCAGAUUGUAAGCACAGGGCAUGUUGAUGUUUGGAUGAGGCUCCCAGAAGAGACAGAGAAAGAGAGAAAAGGAUAUGAUUUAUUGUGAGGAUUCAUCCCACAUCAGAAAUUCUCUAACCAACCCCUAAUGCCAGACUUCAGGCUUGGCAUUAGAGUAACACUCCCUGCUGUAACAGAUAAACCCUGAAUAUUGUUUAUUUCCUGCUCAUGUCAAAGGCUCUGCAGGUUUUCCUGGCCCUGCAGACUUCUUUCCAUGUGCUUAUUCAAGGACCCAGGCUUCUUCCAUCCUGUGGCUCCUCCCUCCUCCAUGUCCUGCAGGAGCCUCUCUAAUCAGACAGCAGCUGGGAAAAGACAAAGGGAGGUCACACCGGGAGGUUCUUAUGGACCAAGCCUGCAAGUGGAGCAUGUUACCUCUGCUGAGAUCCACUGGCCAUAUAUCCUGGUCACAUGGUCACACCUAACUGCAAGGGAGGCUGGGAAAUGUAGUCUCUAUUCUCAGGAGAAAAAGGACUUUGGAUUUAGGGGAACUCCUGGGAGUCUCUGGCCCACACUUUAUCUUUUGCAUAUUCCCUGCCUCCUUCAGAGAGCAGUUUCCCAGCUGAACUCUUUCAAUUAAAAGAAAAAAAGUGACAUAAGUAUAGUGGUUGGAAAUGGAUCAAAUAGGCUGUACUCUUUUGGGAUUUUGUUGUUUAUGGUAGGAGUGUGUGAGGUUUCUGUCCAUAGAGACCAAGCCCGAGGUCAUCUCUUACCAAACAUCUUUCUUCUAAGCAUCUUCUGUCUUCUCUAAAUGAUUAUUUUGUCUCCUUCCUCCUUCUUCCUUUUUAUUGAUAAAACAUGAGGCAGUAACAUGAUUUUUCUUGUGCAGAUUAAAUCUAGAUUCCUCAAGGCCAGUCUUCUAUAACACUACAAUUCUGUCUGUGAAUAAAACACUAACAAUAAAAAUUGGUUAAGCUUUAACUGUGUUUAUAGUGUUAUGGGGUUUUAAUUUUAAAUGGUUGUGUUCAAACUCUAAAAUGCUCACUUCAUGAAAUUCGAAAAUUUAUAAAAAAAAAUAAUUGCGUAUAAUUCGACCACUCUCUUACAUCUCAGCUUCUUUCCUCUUGAAUAUAAUCUUGAUUGAAGGGCUUUUAUCUAAGGACAAGCAAAAUCAUCUGUACAAAACUCAGAGGGAAUAGGAAAGAGAGUCACAUCUUUGUCAUGGGACAUAGUCCCAACUACAAAUUCACUUCUAUGUUUUUAAGACUGUUGAGCUUUGCCUUAAAUUUACCUCUGUAUUCUUCAGUUUCCUCACUUAAAAUGAGGAGUAUCCUUCUUCCACCCACACGGCAUCUGCAAACUGCCGAUGAAAAAAGGCACCUGUCAAAAGUUCUGAGGACAUAAAAUGUUCUAGAAAAACAAUCAUCCCAAUAGCGCUUAUAUGUGCUCAGUGUAGAGGGUUUAAGGGGAUUAUGGUUCAAAGACUCAACAAGAGGAAGCAUUUUUUCCUAAGGGUGGAUUGAGAGUUUCCUGCCAACCACUUUACCUAACAAUUUUGAUAUUUAUAAGGAGAAUAGAGGCACACAGAGACUGCAAAGGCAGGUAGCCCUGGGCUCUAACGGGGCUGUUCCUCCAACAAAGCCAGAACAGAAUUCCCCAUCCAGCAGGACUGGGCUCCAGUUCCCAGAGCCAUUCACAUUCUCGUUCAAAGCCAGCUGAUGAAAGCCAAACAUAAACCUCCUUGUUUACCUUGUGAAUGGAACUUGGAAGUAAAGUAUUUUCCAAAUGCUGGUUGACACCAAGAGGAUGUAAUUACAAUAAGGGGCUUUCUGGUUUGAAGAGAUGAAAGAAGGAAAUGAUUUGUCUCUUUGAAAUCAAAUUAUCACAUAUUAAAAGAAAAGGGGGAGGCUUAGCUUCCAGUCCUCAAAGCAAAAUCGUGACCUGUAAUUUUCUUAAUUUUUUUUUUUUUUUUUUUUUUUUUUUGCUUAAAAUUACUAAGACCAAGGUAGUAGGGAUAGAAGAAGCAACCUGGGAGCUGGAGAAAUGGGGUCAUGAGGAGGAAGAGGAGCUUAGUGGCAGAGAGUGUGAUCUUCGUCCAGUAUAUUUCCUGUCUAUUUCCAUUGCAUUUUAAUCCAUAAUGAAUGUAGAAUGGUGAUUGGCAGGCUGCUUGUGGAGUCUCAUACCUGCCUCUCUCCUCCUUGUGCCUUUUGGGGGAGGUAGUGGUCUUCCCAGGGGGAGUCGGGGUACAGGUAACAGGCCAAGUUGAAAUAUGUAUGUCGUGCAUCUUUGGAUGGAUACAGUCUCUGGUUUUAGCCUGCACUUAACAUGAUUCCACUGAGGUUUUAUUUUAAUUUCCCAAAGCCUCUUUGCUAAUUAAAGCCAUUUGCCUUGGGACUCUUAGCCCUUUUAAUUCUAAAAUGCCCCUAAAUUUUCCUGGUAAUUCCUGAUUUGUUAUUUUCCAAAUGAGAGUCAUCUUGAGUGUGUGGAAGAUGCCCAUAAGGACUUCUUAACUCUCAACUCUCUCUCACACACAUCCACACACGCACCAUGCCCUCUGAAGUGACAGUGUGCUGUAUUAGAAAGGGCGAGAGCUUUAGAGGAAACCAACCAUGAGUUCUGGUUUCCGCUCUGCCAUUUGCUGACUUCGCAUCAUUGAACAACUUUAACCCCCCUCAGCUCCACUUUCUUCAUCUGUAAGAUGAGAUAGUGAGGAUUUCCUUGCAAGAUUUUUGUGGGGAUUAAAUAGAAUUCGCUCUAUAAAAUGCUGGGCAUAGCACUUGCAGUAGGUGGACAAUCCAAUAGUAGCUGCUCCUAAUAAUAAUGUCAUCAUCAUCAUAGUCCAACCUCAGAAAAUUCUACAUUGGGUUAAAAACUCUAAGACCAGGUACUUUAGAUAAAAUUGAAAGCUGGCAAAAUACUUCUGUGUUCAUGUUAUCUGAUUUUCUUCUCCCUGUUGGAAAAUGAAAAGGUACCAAAAUGAUGCAAACUCUGCUUUUGCCUUCAAAGUAAGCAUGAUGAACCCCACUGGGGCUUCUCUGACUCUAUCUUUUUUCCCAGUACACACACACACACACACACACACACACACACACACGGCUGCUGUGUUAUCAAUAACCAGUAUCUUUGUAGGAAAGUAGAAACUAAAUUGUGUGUUUCUUUACCAAUAUCUUUGUUUGAAUUUGGUUCCAUCACAUCUGAUGCCCCUUGGGUUUUUCCCAAAGGGAGAAAUGGUCAGAGGGAAUUAAAAUGGCUCAGAUGUUCCCUUAGGUUUCCCCUAC
rnacentral:lncRNA from 1 species